rnacentral:ncRNA from 1 species
AAAAAAUAUCGGCAAACCAUUGGAAACAAUGGGACGCAAAACUAUAGGGCCUUUAAAAUGGCAGCCAGUUCCCGAG